rnacentral:rRNA from 1 species
GAUGAACGCUAGCGGCAGGCUUAAUACAUGCAAGUCGAGGGGCAGCAGGACUGUAGCAAUACAGUUGCUGGCGACCGGCAAACGGGUGCGGAACACGUACGCAACCUACCCAAAACUGGGGGAUAGCCCGGGGAAACCCGGAUUAAUACCUCGUAACCUUUUUAAGUGGCAUCACUUGAUAAGUAUAGCUCCGGCGGUUUUGGAUGGGCGUGCGCUUGAUUAGGUAGUUGGUGCGGGUAACGGCCCACCAAGCCUGCGAUCAGUAACUGGUGUGAGAGCACGACCAGUCACACGGGCACUGAGACACGGGCCCGACUCCUACGGGAGGCAGCAGUAAGGAAUAUUGGUCAAUGGACGCAAGUCUGAACCAGCCAUGCCGCGUGAAGGAUGAAGGUCCUCUGGAUUGUAAACUUCUUUUAUGGGGGACGAAACCCGGAUAUUCUUAUCCGAUUGACGGUACCUCAGGAAUAAGCACCGGCUAACUCCGUG